rnacentral:misc_RNA from 1 species
GUGGUAACCUGGUGCAUUGGCGGGCUCCCUGCUUCUGUGCAGCCGACCGCGAGUGCGGCAGGACGCCUCGUUUGGAUUGGAACUUCGGGUGGCUUCGCAUGAUGCGGAGGGCAAUAUUCGGUGGGUCGUAUCGCAUAGUUGGGAACGUGGCAACUCGGCGACCCUACGCUAGUCGCAUGCCGUUCUACUCUCAUCCUCCCCUCGGGCGGGCGAGAGAGGCGGCUUCUUACGACGUCCCGUGCGCCGUCGGUGGCACUUGCGGCCGCACAUGUGCGUGCGUGCAGCCUGCGCCGCCCGUCUGGUCCUCGGGAUCGUUGUGUGCUCACGGAUGCGGUGAAUUAGAUGGGGUCGGGUGUCCCACACGCGGCUCUCGACCGGACGACCGGAACGUGUUUGCGUACGCCGCGGGCGGGCAAACGAUGGAACGGAACGGAAUAAACGACCGUCGGCGUGCGUCCCGAUCUCGCCGUCUCGGCGGAGAGAUGGGCCGCACGCGGGCGUCGUCUCGGAGGGUUUGCUACCUGGUUGAUC